GCGUUAGUGGUAUAAUGGUUAGCAUUGUUGCCUUCCAAGCAAUAGACCCGGGUUCGAUUCCCGGCUAACGCA